GGCUGGUCAGAGUGCACUGGUGUUUACAACUAAUUUAUCACAGCCGAUUACAGAUUUGCUCAUUCCUGCCCCGCUCCCACCGCUUUGCUUGACUGAUCUAGA
ensembl:misc_RNA Y_RNA Y RNA